rnacentral:tRNA from 1 species
GGAGAGAUAGCUCAAAGGUUUAAGAGCACUGACUGUUGUUUCAGAGGACCUGGGUUCAAUUCCCAGCACCC